CUUUCGAAAGAAAGAUUAAUACCUGAUGGUAUGAUGAGAUUGCAUGAUAGCAUCAUUAAAGAUUUAUCGGUGUACGAUGGGGAUGCGUUCCAUUAGGUAGUAGGCGGGGUAACGGCCCACCUAGCCAACGAUGGAUAGGGGUUCUGAGAGGAAGGUCCCCCACAUUGGAACUGAGACACGGUCCAAACUCCUACGGGAGGCAGCAGUGAGGAAUAUUGGUCAAUGGACGAGAGUCUGAACCAGCCAAGUAGCGUGAAGGAUGAAGGUCCUACGGAUUGUAAACUUCUUUUAUAAGGGAAUAAACCCUCCCACGUGUGGGAGCUUGUAUGUACCUUAUGAAUAAGCAUCGGCUAACUCCGUGCCAGCAGCCGCGGUAAUACGGAGGAUGCGAGCGUUAUCCGGAUUUAUUGGGUUUAAAGGGAGCGCAGACGGGUCGUUAAGUCAGCUGUGAAAGUUUGGGGCUCAACCUUAAAAUUGCAGUUGAUACUGGCGUCCUUGAGUGCGGUUGAGGUGCGCGGAAUUCGUGGUGUAGCGGUGAAAUGCUUAGAUAUCACGAAGAACUCCGAUUGCGAAGGCA
rnacentral:rRNA from 1 species